rnacentral:rRNA from 1 species
CCUACGGGGGGCAGCAGUGAGGAAUAUUGGUCAAUGGGCGCGAGCCUGAACCAGCCAAGUAGCGUGAAGGAUGACUGCCCUACGGGUUGUAAACCUCUUUUGCCGGGGAGCAACGGGCGCCACGUGUGGCGUCCCUGAGAGUCCCCGGAGAAAAAGCAUCGGCUAACUCCUUGCCAGCAGCCGCGUUAAUACGGAGGAUGCGAGCGUUAUCCGGAUUUAUGGGGUUUAAGGGGUGCGUAGGCGGAUCGUUAAGUCAGUGGUCAAAUUGAGGGGCUCAACCCCUUCCCGCCAUUGAAACUGGCGUUCUUGAGUGGAAGAGAAGUAGGCGGAAUGCGUGGUGUAGCGGUGAAAUGCAUAGAUAUCACGCAGAACCCCGAUUGCGAAGGCAGCAUGCCGGCUUCCGACUGACGCUGAAGCACGAAAGCGUGGGGAUCGAACAGGAUUAGAUACCCGAGUAGUC